GAUUAUGGCUCAGGAUGAACGCUAGCGACAGGCUUAACACAUGCAAGUCGAGGGGCAGCAUAAAAGUAGCAAUACUUGGUGGCGACCGGCGCACGGGUGAGUAACGCGUAUGCAACCUACCUAUCAGAGGGGAAUAACCCGGCGAAAGUCGGACUAAUACCGCAUAAAACAGGGGCACCGCAUGGUGAUAUUUGUUAAAGAAAUUCGCUGAUAGAUGGGCAUGCGUUCCAUUAGGUAGUUGGUGAGGUAACGGCUCACCAAGCCGACGAUGGAUAGGGGAACUGAGAGGUUGGUCCCCCACACUGGUACUGAGACACGGACCAGACUCCUACGGGAGGCAGCAGUGAGGAAUAUUGGUCAAUGGGCGAGAGCCUGAACCAGCCAAGUCGCGUGAAGGAAGAAGGAUCUAUGGUUCGUAAACUUCUUUUGCAGGGGAAUAAAGUGCAGGACGUGUCCUGUUUUGUAUGUACCCUGAGAAUAAGGAUCGGCUAACUCCGUGCCAGCCGCCGC
rnacentral:rRNA from 1 species